UAAAAUUAACUCAUUACUUUGAUCAUAUGCUGGUGUAGGUUGCAUAUUUUAAAAUUACAUUUUCCAAAUGGCCCAUCUCAUUUUUCAUACAAAUGAUAUAUUUCAACUCCAUGUGAAUUUUAAGUAGAAAAUUCUGUUGUUCUACAAAUGGAAAGAAAUGGACUCACAUUUCACAGAAUACAUUAAUGAAGAAGGAGGCAGACACACUUUCUCCCAAUGACAUCAAAAGGAAGAUAGAGACAUCGAGCAGAAAACUUUUUUUUAGUAGAAGGAUAUUUGAGUUUUCUUCUAUAAGUUGAUCUCUUGAGAUCAGUUGGGGGAAAAAGAAAACAUUAUUCUUAUGCCCUGUUUCUGGAGUGAGAUGAAGAACAGAAUUUCUUUCCUGAAGAUUUAAUCUGGGUCAGUUUAAACGCUGGCCCAGGCUAGCUCCUUGGGGAGGUUUCUCCUGAAAGCCCCACAAGAGCUCCUUGAGUCCAGAGGUGGGGGAGGAAAAGGGCCCCACUCUAUAAACAGAGCCUCAGGAUGACAAUCCAAUCAGCCCAGAAACUAGCCGGGCCCUCACUUAAAUUUAAUGUCUCUGUGUUUGCACUGAUAGUGCUAACAAGCCAGCCCAGGCCCAUCAGCAUCAGGAAAUUUCUUUUAAUUACACAAUGAGAGCACUGUGCAAACCCCUCCACACUGCAGGUCGGUGCCACAUCACACAGGGACAAGGGGAGGCUCGAGGGUGGAGGCUGCUUUUUGCUGAAGAGCUGAAGAUUAUCUGUGGGAAUUCUUUCAAAGCAGCAGAGGUGAUUAAAAUAUAUUUAGCACUCAUUUCUCUCCUGCUUUCCUCCUUCAUCCUCACAAAUAUCACUGGAAGAGGAACAAUGCAUCAUUAAUAUCCUUGAUCCUCCAUUCCGAAUAAGGGGAGGAAGUCUUCAUUUGCACAAGCUGUAGAGGCAGGGAGAAGGACCCCACACUGAGGUGUCCUAUUCAGGGUCAUGUAAAAAACCAAGCCAGGCAAUCAGCUCCAUCUACUUCAGGCUCUAAAUAGAGUUUUUCUUUUGGGAGCAUGGUAGAGGGGGUUCUCUGAAUUUUAUGAUGCUGGUUUGUUUUUGUUUUGCUUUGAUAGGUUUGCUUUUUUGAAUUUUUUUUCUAUAUCAAUUCUGAUUUGUUAUGUUUUUUAAAAAAAUUUUAAUAAACAUUUGACUGAUCUGAGGUUGUUGAAGUGUGAACUGGGAUAAGAACAAAAAAGCAAUAUGUUAUUUUAGGAAGGUAAGAAAAGAAAAAUUAAGUGGCAGGAUUUUUUUUUAAUUCUAGCAGCCCUCAAGAGUUUGUAUCAAGCUAUAUUGGGGGUUGGUGGGAGAGGAGGGACAGGGAGAGAGAGGAGGGGGAGCAAGAGGAGGGAGAGAGAAUGUUCAUACAUAUCAGAUUUCGGCUAAUGGCUCCCCUGCUAACAGUGGGAAGCAAAAACUUGAAGUAGUCAGUGUAAGGUUUGGAGGUUCAAGCUUCAGUUUUCACAAAAAUGCCAACUUACUCCAAGAAAAGAUUCCUUAGGCCAGAGCAGACAGAGCACCUCUACACUAACAUGAAUAUGAUAUGCUUUGAGGGACCCAAAGGAAAAAGGUCCCACCCUUAGGUCAAACUUUAAAAAUGCCAUAUUCAUAACACAAAAAACUCCAGCCUAUUGGAAUGCUGGCUACAUCACAAUAUCACAGUUUCCAUUUAUUCGAAAUUACCAUUUAUUAGAAAUUAACCAUCCCCCCUAUACACACACACACACACACACACACACCCUGAAAGGGCUUUCCUUGUCUUAAGCCUCUGUGUAUGAAACACUCUGGAACCCACCGGCCUAGGUGUUAGAACAGCACCGAAGUUGCCAGGGCCAGGGGUCCAGCCAUCCUGACCUCUGCUAGCCACCCUGCAAGGGCCGAUGUUCCCACGCAGGAGGCCCCAGGGAGGUGGUACUGAGCAACCGGCCACACCCAAGGAAACAGCUCAGAGCUCAACUUCCUCCUGAAUUAGGCCACACCCGAGGCCUCCCGGGUCUCAUCCACGCCUCUGGGUCCAUCACUAAACAGAAGGCACAAUCCCACUAACUCUUACUCCAUCGCUGCUCAUGAAACUCCUGCCAGUAAGGACUGGGUCAAGCACCUGAAAACCAGAGCUCGUCCGUGGCUUCACUUGUUUUGGACUAAGGAGCUGAGGAGCGUGCAAGACUGUACUUGGAGAAUCUGUUUCUUGCUGCCAUUUCGUCACUGAACACUAUUUUUUUUCUCCUUCUUUUUUUGUAAGAAAAGGAGAACACAUAAAACCCCACCAGAACAAACUCCACUCGGCCCUGAAAGUAUUUACAAUCACGGCCCUGAAAGUACUGAAAGUAUUUACAAUCACGUUACAGUUCAUUCACUGCUGCAGAACCUCUCUCCAGCGAUCAAGGUCGAAGGGAGCCGACGUCGCCCUCUAUCGGCUCCCUGCUGCACUAGAAGGAUCGGGAAGAUGGAGGCUCCUGAAGAGCUGUAGAAGCGCAUCCUAGGCAGAAGCCCAGCAGACAGCAAAGGGCCUGGUUUGUUCAAGGAACUGGAGGGCAAGAAAAUCAGGAGCCAAUUCAUGCAGGGCACAGUUAGCCAAGCCGGACUCACUCAGGAGGCCCUUCAUCUUCAUGUUCCCCACAUAGCAGAGGGGAGGGCAGAAGAUGAGAGGGAGGAGAGAGCAGAGCCAAGAGCCUCCUUUUCUCCCACUGUGCCCCUCCUAUGUGUGGCUCUGGACACCAGGAACCACCCAAGGACAGUGGGACUCCUCGAAAAGAUAAUUGCUCAUGAGGGAUCCAAGAGCAAGGCUUGUUACAUCCUAUAACCUUCACACAAAAUAUUGACUGAGAAUCCUCCAUGUGCCAAGUACUGUUCAAAAACACUGGGAACCCAGCAGGGAUGAGCCACAAGUUUCCUUGUCUUUACGAAGCUUUCAUUCUGAGGGAGUGGAGAGAGACAAGCAAUAAACAACCAAUCAAAACAAAGAUGACUCCUCUGAGUGUUGUGAUAUGCGGGUCAAGGAGGAUGGCUCCCAGGAUGUGACCUCAGAGCAGAAGCCUGGAGGCUUGCCAGCAGCGGGAAGAGCAGCGGCAGGGCACUGCAGGCAGAGGUGACCAAAAGCGUGAAACCUUGAGCUGGGAAGCACGUGGUCUGCUGGAAAGUGGGCUGAUGUAUUUGAAGAGAGCAAGGAGCAGAAUGGUACAAUGGGGUGAUGGGGGAAGAGCCAGGCAGAGCCCAGUGCUGCAAAGCCCGGUAGCACAUACAUGUGUAACGUACCUUGAAGCAAAUGAAUGGCCUGAUCUGGUUUCUGUUUUGGCUGCUCUGUGGUGAUGUGGUGCCUGGGAGGCAAAGAAGCUGGGAAAGAAGCGGUUUUUCUCUUCUAGGUACUUUAAAGCUCUAUAAUAUAUGCUCAGGUGAAAUUUGGCUGGUAUUUUCAGGGACUUCACUGCUUUUGUGCCAUACUGGCCUCAUCAUGUAGAUAACAUCACGGAUUCAUUCCAUCUUAUUAUUCUGUAAGAGUGAUGUCUAAUUUUUUUAAAAAAGAAUCAGCUUUAAAAAAUGCAAAGUCUCAUAGAAAGUAACUCUUUUCUAUUUUAAGCAAGCAUUCAGAAUAUUAGCAGUGCUAAUCAGUACCUCACUAAACAGUUAUGACUGAUUCUAAGUGCAAAGUGGGGAAUGAGAGUAACAGAGAGUAUUUACUGGCUGCUAAAAGCAGGUACAAUGGGGAGCAUGCUAGAGAAACUGUCUCACUGAAUCCUCGGAUGACCCCAUGGUGUAGGUAAUACUGGAGAAACUGAGGCUGCAGUGGCCACAUGACUUGCACAAGGCCACCCAGUAAGAAUGGGAUAGAACAAGAGCCCAUGUCCAUAACCCCUCUCCUACUACGCUAAGGUCAGGGUGGCCCUUUAAGGUGACCAAAGGGUUAGAAAUAACAAACAAGAGUGGAUGAACCUAGGUUUAUUUUGUCUGGAGGAGAGAAAUCUUUGAGAGUGAUUAAUUAAAGCAUAUUCAGGAUAUUUUUUAAAUAAACGGAGAGAGCUGUUCUCCAUCAUCCCUAAUGGUAGAAGAAAAGGCCUUCACCCUCAGCCUGGCAGGUGAAGACAGAGAUAAAGAAUGUGCAGACUGUGGGAUCUUGCUGGGAGGGAGGCAGGACUCACCUACCUAGUCUGUCUCUGAUGCAUUUCUUUGGAAAAUGCAUGUUGACAGUGCUUCUAAAAGUAAUCAUAUGAGCUGCCUGAAAAGGUCAACUUUCAACUCUGGUAAAGAUUGGGAUGCCUUUUCCAGAUUAAUUCCACAUUGGUGUUUGUGGGCAAUGCUGAAACAAAAGAAAAUCCAGGCUAGCCAAAACUUUUCACAUAAAUAGUGACAAAAGCAACCGAGUGGCUGGACAGAUUUGAGACAGGAACAGCCCGAGGACUACAGCAGGGGCUCCCAGUCUGGAGACUCUAACAUAGAUCUCCAGAUGACCCCAAUGACUGGGAAUUGCUUUUACUCUGGACAGCCUGCUGGGCGGCCCCAGUUGACUGUCCCGGGUAUGUCCCGGGUCGCUAACCACUUUGACUGCCCCUGAGCCACAGAGUCAGGCAGGAGUCAGGGACACGUAGGUACUCUCUUCUCCCUGCCCCUCACCUUCCUUCAGGGCCACCUCGGCCACAAAGGCUGGCUCCACAUCAGUCAGCUACUCAGACAUGCUCUCGCCUCACCUCCU
rnacentral:lncRNA from 1 species